rnacentral:lncRNA from 1 species
ACAAAUUGCUGGAGGCUCAGUGUGGACAAAUCUGAGAGUUAAAAACUCUGGGAGGUCAGAAGUUCUGAGGGUCUUGUGGUUUUUUCUCAUCAUCAUCCUCCCCUGGUUCUUCUGUUUCAUUUGAAGAGGAGAUGAUAUGAUUGAAUGGAACACAAGGAAGUAAAGUGAUCUUCCUCGUUUGUUUUUCAAAAAGCUGAUGCCUCAGAGGAAAAAGAAAGCAAAGCCCUGUACCCUGACUCGAGCUGAGUCUCAGGGGGGCAGCCAGAUGCCAGAGAGAAAAUGACUAUAUAGGUUACCUAGACCAACAAGAGCACAGACAGCCUGUCAGAGACCUCCAUGCUUUAACCUGGCUCACAAGUAGAGCCACCAGAACCAAAGUAGCUGUGGUGACAGAGACAGAGACAGUCUUCAUGAACAGAUGACCAAGAACCAGACAAGAAGUGGAUACUCCAGAGGACACCUGCAGAGGCAAGACAUCAGGGACCACAGCGCUGCCCACCCCCUCUCAUAUGGUCCCCAUGUAAGCCCCUGGAACUGGGUACCAUCCCAAAGGUAAUAGCAACCAUCAACUAUCCAGUGUUCAGUCACUUCCUUUGAAAGGCUACUACAUCAUGGUGACUUGAUCCAAACAUCGAAGUUAACAUUCCAUCACCUAAACUAUACUGAAGGCUGGAGGGAGGGGAAGCCAACAGAGGAGAGGUCAGAAGAGAAGGAAAUCUAUAAUGGUCAGAAGAGGAAAUUAAUAGACAUGGUCUAAGAUUGAUAAAUCAAGAAAUCAUCAUAGAUGAAGGUGAAUGCCAAGAAAAACAAGCCCCAGAGAUGAAAGCAACUGUCUCUGAAGUGAAACUGGAGGCUGGAAGGGGAAGGGAGGGAACUGAAGUUUUUCAUCCUAAGCUUUUUAAUUCUAUGACUGUUUUCCUCCAUAUGUGUGUGUGACUUUGAGACACAUUAUUUACUUUU